GUGGAUUAGAUACCCUGGUAGUCCACGCUGUAAACGAUGGGCACUAGGUGUCCGGGGUAUUGACCCCCUGGGUGCCGCAGCUAACGCAUUAAGUGCCCCGCCUGGGGAGUACGGUCGCAAGAUUAAAACUCAAAGGAAUUGACGGGGGCCCGCACAAGCGGUGGAGCAUGUGGUUCAAUUCGACGCAACGCGAAGAACCUUACCUGGGUUAGACAACGGCGGACCGCCCUAGAAAUAGGGUUUUCCCUUCGGGGACUGCCGGUUCAGGUGCUGCAUGGCCGUCGCCAACU
rnacentral:rRNA from 1 species